AUGGUAGACAGAACCUACUACUACAAUGAUGAAGCACAAUUAACUUAUAAGGAGAAAGAUGGUCUUAUCGCAUUUUUUACUGAUCUUGAGAAUUACAAUAGCUAUUAUCGAACUCCUCCACAUUAUGGUCAAUACGUGCCACUAGUGCACGUGUUGAACUACGGUAACAUCAAUGGAGAUAGCAUGAAAAUCCCGAUGAAUUGUGUGCCUCAUCUGAUGUUGCCGAGAGGUCGCGUUGAUGUUAUGAGCUUACGGCCGCCACGGCCAGGUCAGCCGCAGUAUCCACAUCAGUCCUGUCCAUACCGGAUUUCUAAAAGCGAGGAAGCCAUGAUAAUAAAUGAUUUCAAAAAAUGUUUCGACUAUCGUAGAGAGCUAUUUGGAAGCAACAUUGUGCGUAGGCCAAGACUUGGAGACAGGAUGAUCUCCGUUCUUUAUUAUGGAGAGUCCAUUUUCCUUAAUGUAGAGUCAAUGCCUAUCUUGUUUUAUGAUAUUUUACCUAAGAGAGGGUAG
rnacentral:rRNA from 1 species